GAAGCUCCUCUCCUCCCCACGUGACCGGAGAAGCGGGCCGAGAGCGAUCGGGCAGUCGGCGUCAUGGAGGAGAAGGACGGGCCGGGGCCGGGGCCGGGGCCGGGGCCGGGGCCGGGGCUGCAGCGGCGGGGCCGAGGGGGUGCUGAGCAGGACCCGGCGGCGGGCGCAGCGCAGGGGCAGGCGCUGUCCGGCCAGUCCUACUGGCUCGACUUGUGGCUGUUCAUCCUCUUCGACCUGGCGCUGCUCGUCAUCGUCUCCCUGCUGCCCUGAGGCGCCGCGCGUGACUAUGUCUUUCCAGGAUGACAACACUUCUGAAAUCAAACAUUGCUGUAGGAAGACCAUGCAUGCAGUAGCAGAACUACAGCUGGCAACCUGACUCUGUUCAGCCCCCGCUUAUUGGAGAUGUGUUUACUGCAGGACUACAGGAAUGGAUGGGAGGAAGUGGGAUGUUGUGAUUUGGUUAAGCUAUAACCUGUUUAACAUCUAAACUGCUGUAAAUUGUGCCUUAAGCUAAAGUAAAACUAAUUUAUCACUUUGAAGGUGGCUUUCCAGUUACUAUGCCUGAAAGAUGGCUUAUAUGGUCAACAUUUAUUUUUCAUUUGUAUAAAAUAAAGUGACUUAACUGCUAAAUAAAAGUCCACUAAAGACAACAA